AUGCUCGCCGGCGGCGUCGCGGGCGUGGCGGCCAAGACGGCCGUCGCGCCGCUCGAUCGAGUGAAGCUCCUCCGACAGGUCGGAGGUGGGGCGGCGCCCGCCGGCACCAGCGCCUUCAGGACGCUCCUCGAGAUCAGCCGCCGCGAGGGCCUCAGGGGGCUCUACCGCGGGAACGGCACCAACGCGCUGCGCGUGUUCCCUUCCAAGGCGAUCCACUUCAUGGCGUACGAGCAGUACCGGAGCUGGCUCCUCGGCGCCGUCCCCUCGCUCGGCGGCGGGCCGGUCGUGGACCUGCUCGCCGGCUCGGCCGCCGGCGGCACGUCGCUGAUAGCCACGUACCCGCUCGAUCUCGCGCGCACCAGGCUCGCCUGCCGUGCCACCGAGGCGGGCGUCUUCGGCGUGCUCCGGAGCGUGUACGCGGAGGGCGGCGUCCGCGGCCUGUACCGUGGUGCGUGGCCGUCGCUGGCGCGCGUGCUCCCGACCGCCGGGCUCCGCUUCUUCGUGUACGAGUCGCUGAAGCGCCGGCUCCCAGAGGACUACGAGGGGCGCGUGGAUGCCAAGGUGGUGUGCGGGAUGGCGGCGGGUCUGGUGGGCAACACGGCGACGUACCCGCUGAGCGUGGUGCGGCGGCAGAUGCAGCUCGGCGGCACGGGCACGGGGACGGCGGUCACUGGGGCGCUGCAGGGCGUUCGGGCCAUCGCAAGGGCGCAGGGGGCGCGGCAGCUAUACGCAGGGCUAGGGCUCUCGUUCCUGAAGGCGGCGCCGUCAGCGGGUUGGUGGCAUACGAGGAGAUGA
rnacentral:rRNA from 1 species